GAUGAACGCCGGCGGUGUGCCUAAUACAUGCAAGUCGUACGCACUGGCCCAACUGAUUGAUGGUGCUUGCACCGGAUUGACGAUGGAUCACCAGUGAGUGGCGGACGGGUGAGUAACACGUAGGUAACCUGCCCCGGAGCGGGGGAUAACAUUUGGAAACAGAUGCUAAUACCGCAUAACAACAAAAGUCGCAUGGCUUUUGUUUGAAAGGUGGCUUUGGCUAUCACUCUGGGGAUGGACCUGCGGUGCAUUAGCUAGUUGGUAAAGGUAACGGCUUACCAAGGCGAUGAUGCAUAGCCGAGUUGAGAGACUGAUCGGCCACAAUGGAACUGAGACACGGUCAUACUCCUACGGGAGGCAGCAGUAGGGAAUCUUCCACAAUGGGCGCAAGCCUGAUGGAGCAACACCGCGUGAGUGAAGAAGGGUUUCGG
rnacentral:rRNA from 1 species